rnacentral:tRNA from 1 species
GGCGCGGUAGCCUAGCGGUCAGGCAGCGGUUUGCAAAACCGUUCUAGGUCGGUUCAACUCCGAUCCGCGCCU